UGGGCAGGUGUCCCGAGUGGCGAAGGGGGCGGACUGUAAAUCCGUUACAAAAGAAACACCGCAGGUUCAAAUCCUGCUCUGCCCAU
rnacentral:tRNA from 1 species